AUUGAACGCUGGCGGCAUGCCUUACACAUGCAAGUCGAACGGUAACGGGUCCUUCGGGAUGCCGACGAGUGGCGAACGGGUGAGUAAUAUAUCGGAACGUGCCCAGUAGUGGGGGAUAACUGCUCGAAAGAGCAGCUAAUACCGCAUACGACCUGAGGGGUGAAAGGGGGGGAGUCGCAAGACCUCUCGCUAUUGGAGCGGCCGAUAUCAGAUUAGCUAGUUGGUGGGGUAAAGGCCUACCAAGGCGACGAUCCGUAGCGGGUCUGAGAGGACGACCCGCCACACUGGAACUGAGACACGGUCCAGACUCCUACGGGUGGCAGCAGUAGGGAAUAUUGCACAAUGGGCGAAAGCCUGAUGCAGCAACGCCGCGUGUGCGAUGAAGGCCC
rnacentral:rRNA from 1 species